rnacentral:rRNA from 1 species
AACGAACGCUGGCGGCAUGCCUAACACAUGCAAGUCGAACGAGACCUUCGGGUCUAGUGGCGCACGGGUGCGUAACGCGUGGGAACCUGCCCUUAGGUUCGGAAUAACUCCCCGAAAGGGGUGCUAAUACCGGAUAAUGUCUUAGGACCAAAGAUUUAUCGCCUUUGGAUGGGCCCGCGUUGGAUUAGCUAGUUGGUAGGGUAAAAGCCUACCAAGGCGACGAUCCAUAGCUGGUCUGAGAGGAUGAUCAGCCACACUGGGACUGAGACACGGCCCAGACUCCUACGGGAGGCAGCAGUGGGGAAUAUUGGACAAUGGGCGAAAUCCUGAUCCAGCAAUGCCGCGUGAGUGAUGAAGGCCUUAGGGUUGUAAAGCUCUUUUACCCGGGAUGAUAAUGACAGUACCGGGAGAAUAAGCUCCGGCUAACUCCGUG